CACAGUUCGGAUCGCAGUCUGCAACUCGACUGCGUGAAGCUGGAAUCGCUAGUAAUCGCAUAUCAGCCAUGAUGCGGUGAAUACGUUCCCGGGCCUUGUACACACCGCCCGUCAAGCCAUGGAAGCUGGGGGUACCUGAAGUCCGUUACCGCAAGGAGCGGCCUAGGGUAAAACUGGUAACUGGGGCUAAGUCGUAACAAGGUAGCCGUACCGGAAGGUGCGGCUGGAACACCUCCUUUCUAGAGCAAUCACUUUUAAGUGAAAGCGCAAUACGACGACUCGGUAAAACGAGAUAUUUAGUCUUAAUCGUCUGUCAAUUAUAUAAAAUGAUGCAGUCUCAUAGCUCAGCUGGUUAGAGCGCUACACUGAUAAUGUAGAGGUCGGCAGUUCGAGUCUGCCUGAGACUACGAAAAUACGGAGUAGGAAAUUACGAAGUAUAAAGUUCUUAGAAUAUUGAAAGGAAAUUUUAGAGGUUGAGUAGCCGUUAUAAGUACUGUUAACUAAUAACUGUUAACUGAUCACUAAAACACGGGGGAUUAGCUCAGCUGGCUAGAGCGCCUGCCUUGCACGCAGGAGGUCAUCGGUUCGACUCCGAUAUUCUCCACGAUUUAAUUAUUGGUUAUGAUUAAUUAAUAAUUAUAAAACGUUCAUUGACAUAUUGAAACAAACAUAAAGAAUACGAGAGAAUACAUUGACUGUAUCUUAUUAGAUACAGAAAAAAUAUAAGAAUAAAGAUCAUUAGGUAAAAGCAUAAGCUUGAUAAGGGCGUAUGGGGAAUGCCUAGGCUCUCAGAGGCGAUGAAGGACGUGAUAAGCUGCGAAAAGCUGCGGGGAU
rnacentral:misc_RNA from 1 species